rnacentral:rRNA from 1 species
CCUACGGGAGGCAGCAGUGGGGAAUAUUGCACAAUGGGCGCAAGCCUGAUGCAGCCAUGCCGCGUGUGUGAAGAAGGCCUUCGGGUUGUAAAGCACUUUCAGCGGGGAGGAAGGCGGUGAGGUUAAUAACCUCAUCGAUUGACGUUACCCGCAGAAGAAGCACCGGCUAACUCCGUGCCAGCAGCCGCGGUAAUACGGAGGGUGCAAGCGUUAAUCGGAAUUACUGGGCGUAAAGCGCACGCAGGCGGUCUGUCAAGUCGGAUGUGAAAUCCCCGGGCUCAACCUAGGAACUGCAUUCGAAACUGGCAGGCUAGAGUCUUGUAGAGGGGGGUAGAAUUCCAGGUGUAGCGGUGAAAUGCGUAGAGAUCUGGAGGAAUACCGGUGGCGAAGGCGGCCCCCUGGACAAAGACUGACGCUCAGGUGCGAAAGCGUGAGGAGCAAACAGGAUUAGAUACCCUGGUAGUC